GACGAACGCUGGCGGCGUGCUUAACACAUGCAAGUCGAACGCACCUUCGGGUGAGUGGCGGACGGGUGAGUAACGCGUAGGUAAUCUACUCUUCAGUGGGGGAUACCCAGCCGAAAGGUUGGUUAAUACCGCAUACGCUCCUGUGCAGAGAGGUACAGGAGGAAAGGUUUACUGCUGAGGAAUGAGCCUGCGUCCGAUUAGCUAGUUGGUGGGGUAAAGGCUCACCAAGGCGACGAUCGGUAGCUGGUCUGAGAGGACGAUCAGCCACACUGGAACUGAGACACGGUCCAGACUCCUACGGGAGGCAGCAGUGGGGAAUUUUCCGCAAUGGGCGAAAGCCUGACGGAGCAACGCCGCGUGGGUGAUGAAGUUUUCGGACGUAAACCUUUCGCCAGGGACGAAGCGAGUGACGGUACCUGGAGAAGAAGCAUCGGCUAACUACG
rnacentral:rRNA from 1 species